rnacentral:tRNA from 1 species
UCCCAUAGCUCAGUCGGUAGAGCGACGGACUGUUAAUCCGCAGGUCCCUGGUUCGAGCCCAGGUGGGA